UCUUGGUUUACAUUCUUUCUGUCUCCUCAUCUGUAAUGUUCCUGAAGCCGUGAGGGAAUGAUAUAGAUGAUUCAUUUGGGACUGGGCAUUGUGAGACAUGGUCGCAUAUUCUCAGGAUUUCGGUUUUCCAAUUCUGAGUCUCUGGAGUAACCGCUACCAGUGAAAAAGGAAGCUUCUGUAAUCAAGGCUGACAGCAGCACUUAUCUUUGGACAUAAACACAAGUGUUUAGAAGACAGCAGGCGGGCUUUUUCCAUCUAAGUGAUGAUCGGAACUAUCUUCACUACAGCUCAAGGACGUACCUGCAUGGGGAGCAGGUUGUAACAGACGAUGGAAACCGUCUUGUAAUUACAGCUGUGAAAAGAAUGUGAAUAAUUACGAAAACACUUUGUUCUCCGAGGCUUGA